UAACACGCUUUUUGUUGAAACAUCUGUUUACAAGUCAGUGGUUAAACUGUUGCAUUAGUAUGUAAGUUCUAAACAGAACAGAAUUGCGGCAUUGCUAAAACAUGCUGCAUAGGUGCCAAUGCUUUAGGGCCCAGUAUUAGUGGUACUGUUUUAUGACGAGAAAAAAAAACAGAAUUUAAAAGAACACUGAAGUUACAUUCAUAUGUUGCUUUUAGUAUGUGGACCAUUCACUUCAAAUGCAAACGGUUCAUCUACACAUCUACAGAGAUGUCUACAUAUAGAUGCUGAGAUAAGAGGCUCAGAGAUCAAAGCCUCUCGUGGGUGGUUCCGCAGGAAAUGCUGGUUAUUGGCGGGGAUGAGGUCUGAUCUUUUUAAACCGAGCGUACUAGUUGUUUACUCACCGUAAAUCAAGCCACGAAUCAUAAGCACUGAUCUAACAUUACUCAGAUGCCGUCACGUAUCAGCGUCGUCAAGAUACGGUAAUCUGUUAUUUCAUGAGACCAUUGCGCCAGCCAAGGAUCUAUGGGUAGUAUGUCGUGGAAGUCCCGGGACGGGCAGAACCGUUUGAUCCAUCGCCCAUGCUGCAUAUUACUUGACAGCUUGUACUGUCAUAUAGGAAUGGAGAAUUGAAACCAAGAGCCGAUUUCGCCACUCUAAUCCUUCGACCUGUUAACCAGUAAACAGCGAUUUUUAUACUUUAAUUGGUGGGUUUUGUGGGGUUUAACGCGGGAUUUAAACUUGUUUUUAACGCACGAACAGAUGAGAUGGGCCUCUGCCAACGCUUUUUCUUAACAGCUGCUGUAUAUGACGGGUUUUAUGUGAAAUAUAUCCAAAGUACCAACGGCUACACCUUAGCUGCAAAGCGGGGUUGUGAUUUUUCAACGCCUAGAUUAAGCCGCAUCAAGAUUAAACGUUCAGUAUGACAGUGCUGUAAACUUUGUGGUCGAGUUCGUGGUCUCACAGGGCAAUGCACCUGCGGAAGGUCGAUCGACAGGUGUUCAUUUCGACGCCGGAAGAUCUGCCAAGCUUGACGACUUAUAAUUGCUCCGAUAACGAAAAACAUAUACCCAGUAAAUUAUGCAAGGUUUUUGCCCAAAGAUUGUGGCCAGAGAUUCCUCGUUUGGGUGAUAUGCUUAUCGCUGAUAACGAGCGUGCGGGACGGUGCGCUUUUGCCAAGCUUCCAGCAUACCAGUUUUACGAGUAGGUAUAUUGUGCGCUACCGGUUUCAUACACAGAAAGUGUUUAAUGUACCUAAAAAAAUGUAUGACACAGAUUUUCUGGUCAGUUUUAAUACAAACACCAAUGCUUUUG